GUAUGUAAUCUUCUCACCCACUGGAAUUGUGAUACAGUGAAUUUUCAGUGAAAUAAUCUGUCUGUAAACAAUUGAUGGAAAAAUUACCAAGUAGAUGUGCUAACCGACUUGCCAUAACUAUAGUUUGUUAACAAGAAAUUUGUGGAGUGGUUGAAAACAAGUUUUAAUGACUCCAACCUAAGUGUAUGUAAACUUCCGACUUCAACUGUUUAUAUUUGCCGCAAUUAAAAUGCUUCCUUUCUAGCAAUAAAUGUCACUCACUCACUACACCGCCUAACCCACUUGAAGAAAGGGGUUGAUCACUACGUGUCAUAGGUGGCAGCACCUCUUAACCCCACAGAAGAAGCCGAAAAGCCUCACAGGAAGUUCUUUAUUACCAUCCUCCAUUGAGUUUUGAAAUCUGUCUUUGAUACUUGAUAGCUAAUAUCCAGUAGCUUUUGUUCUCAUCUGUUCAUGCACCAGAUUGGAAUGCAAAGUUUGUUUGCUCAAGGCAAUGGCCAGCCCCAGCAUCGUAUUCAUCACAGCACCAUGUGGAUGCGAUAGUCAUGGAGGGCCAGGAGUGAGACACUCCAUCGGUGCCAAGUUUGGGCCGCAGACAUAAAGCUUAGGUUCUAGCUGUAACGGGUGCCAAGGACCUGAAGUCAACAGUGUGGUGGAUGCUACCUUGCAUUCUGUCAAACCAUCUCGCCAUCGCCAUAACCUGGAUUGGGGCAGGGGAUAAGGCCUGUGUCAGGGACUUGUUUCUGAAGACCAUUCUAUUUUUAUGUGUGUUCCAUUUGUUUUCUGUACUUUUUAAGUUAAAAAAAGUUGCUAGGACACUUCAGGAGAGUCAUCAAGAAGGUAACCCAGUAGGAUGGAUAGGAUGUAAAAAGGUACUUAAUAUGGGUCAACAUUUUUUGUGGUGGAGUUUUUUUAAAUAUCUCCUGGAUAUAGGACAGACACUUCAAAACCUUAUUCCUUAUUAUUUAUUUUUUGACUGUCUGUUUUGCCAUUUUUAUAUGUGUUAUUCAAUGUGUUUCUAUGGGCUAUAGCAGUAAAGAACAAAUGUAAUAUUUUAUCAAAUCAUUUUUGUAUAUAUUUUUUAUACUGACAGGGGUUCUAAAAUUCUACAUCAAAUAGCUAAAUGAUCCAUGGUAUGACCAUCUUAAAACAAUUCCAUAUGUUAGCUUAGUAGAUAUCGCGAACACAGGGCUUAGACUUACACUCACAGUUUUUUAAUGCAGCAGCAAACAUUGUCACUGAUUCUCCCUCUUCCUGGUUUCUUCUGUGGAACCUAAACCUUUUUUUAACUAGUGGUUUUGGUGAAAAGUGUCCUUUGAGUAUUUCCACAAUAUCCUCAUAUAGUGCCUUCGGAAAGUAUACAGUCCCCUUGACUUUACAGCCUUAUUCUAAAAUUGAUUAAAUACGUUUUUUUCAGCAAUCUACACACAAUACCUCAUAAUGACAAAGUGAAA